GGUUUGAUUAUGGCUCAGAUUGAACGCUGGCGGGAUGCUUUGCUGGACAUGCAAGUCGAACGGCAGCACGACUUCGGUUCAGUGUGGCGAGUGGGCGAACGGGUGAGUAAAUGUAUUUGAACGCGCCUAGUAGCGGGGGAUAACUACGCGAAAGCGUAGCUAAUACUGCAUAUUGCCCUUCGGGGAAAGCAAGACCUUCGGCCUCACCAUUAGAGCGGCUGAUAUCGGAUUAGCUAGUUGAGGGGUAACGGCUCACCAAGGCGACGAUCCAGCUGGUUUGAGAGACGACCAGCCACACUGGGACUGGAGACACGGCCCAGACUCCUACGGGAGGCAGCAGUGGGGAAUUUUAGAUAAUGGGGAAACCCUGAUCCAGCCAUCCCGCGUGUGCGAUGAAGGCCUUCAAGAAAAGCACUUUUGGCAGGAAAGAAACGGCACGGAUAAUACCCCGUGCAACUGACGGUACCUGCAGAAUAAGCACCGCUAACCACGCCAGCAGCCGGUAAUACGUAGGGUGCAAGCGUUAAUCGGAAUUACUGGGCGUAAAGCGUGCGCAGGCGGUCUGGAAAGAAAGAUGAAAUCCCCAGAGCUUAACUUUGGAACUGUAUUUUUAACUACCGAGCUAGAGUGUGUCAGAGGGAGGUGAAUUCCGCGUAGCAGCAGAAUGCGUAGAUAUGCGGAGGAACACCGAUAAAGGCAGCCUCCUGGGAUAACACCGACGCUCAUGCACGAAAGCGUGGGGAGCAAACAGGAUUAUACUCUGGUAGUCCACGCCCAAACGAUGUCAACUAGCCGUUGGGGCCUUCGGGCCUGGUAGCGCAGCUAACGGGAAGUUGACCGCCUGGGGAGUACGGUCGCAAGAUUAAAACUCAAAGGAAUUGACGGGACCCGCACAAGCGGUGGAUGAUGAUUAAUUGAUGCAACGCGAAAAACCUUACCUACCCUUGACAUGUCUGGAAUCCCGAAGAGAUUUGGGAAAGCCUGCAAGAGAACCUGGAACAUAGGUGCUGCAUGGCUGUCGUCAGUCGUGUCGUGAGAUGUUGGGUUAAGUCCCGCAACGAGCGGCAACCCUCGGCUAGUUGCUGCCGAAAAAGGGCACUCUCAUCGAGACUGCCGGUGACAAACCGGAGGAAGGUGAUGACGUCAAGUCCUCAUGGCCCUGGCAUAGGCUUCACGACGUCAUACAAUGGUCGGGACGAGGGUCGCCAACCCGCGAGGGGGAGCCAAUCCCAGAAACCCGAUCGUAGUCCGGAUCGCAGUCUGCAACUCGACUGCGUGAAGUCGGAAUCGCCAGUAAUCGCGGAUCAGCAUGUCGCGGUGAAUACGUUCCCGGGUCUUGUGAUGACACCGCCCGUCACACCAUGGGAGUGGGUUUUUACCAGAAGUAGUUAGCCUAACCGUAAGGAGUGGCGAUUACCACGGUAGGAUUCAGACUGGGGUGAAGUCGUAACAAGGUA
rnacentral:rRNA from 1 species